rnacentral:rRNA from 1 species
CAGUCGCCGCGGGAAUACGUAGGUGGCAAGCGUUGUCCGGAAUUAUUGGGCGUAAAGGGCUCGCAGGCGGUUUCUUAAGUCUGAUGUGAAAGCCCCCGGCUCAACCGGGGAGGGUCAUUGGAAACUGGGAAACUUGAGUGCAGAAGAGGAGAGUGGAAUUCCACGUGUAGCGGUGAAAUGCGUAGAGAUGUGGAGGAACACCAGUGGCGAAGGCGACUCUCUGGUCUGUAACUGACGCUGAGGAGCGAAAGCGUGGGGAGCGAACAGGAUUAGAUACCCCCGUAGUCCCUGUCUCUUAUCC